CAGUCGCCGCGGUAAUACGUAGGUCCCGAGCGUUGUCCGGAUUUAUUGGGCGUAAAGCGAGCGCAGGCGGUUAGAUAAGUCUGAAGUUAAAGGCUGUGGCUUAACCAUAGUACGCUUUGGAAACUGUUUAACUUGAGUGCAAGAGGGGAGAGUGGAAUUCCAUGUGUAGCGGUGAAAUGCGUAGAUAUAUGGAGGAACACCGGUGGCGAAAGCGGCUCUCUGGCCUGUAACUGACACUGAGGCGCGAAAGCGUGGGGAGCAAACAGGAUUAGAUACCCCGGUAGUCCCUGUCUCUUAUACA
rnacentral:rRNA from 1 species